GAGUCAAAAUUGGUUGAAAAAAUUGUUCAAGAGGUCUUGAAGAAAUUGAACGAAAUGCCAUAUUCAAGGCCUGAUUUUAGUAAACUGGUUGGAAUUGAAGAGCACGUAGAGAGGCUGGAACGAUCAUUACACAUUGGCACUCCAUUUUUUCGCAUCAUUGGCAUUUGGGGCAUGAUUGGAAUAGGGAAGACAACUAUUGCUACUGUUUUAUAUGACCGGAUCUAUCCUCACUUUGAAGGUUUCUACUUUCUCCGAAAUGUUACUCAAAAGGCGGAACGACAUGGAUUAGACCAUCUACGAAAUACUCUCCUUGCUCAAUUGCUAGGGGAAACAAAUCUGAAUUUAGGCCACCAAUCUUCAGGAUCAACUUCUAUUGGAGGGAGACUUUGUCAUAAAAAAGUCCUUGUCGUCCUUGAUGGUGUGGAUGACGAAGACCAAUUUGAUCAACUUUUACCAAGAGAGCAUAUCGAUUUUCACACUGAAAGUCGGAUAAUCGUGACAACAAGAAGGGCACAAGUGCUUAGGAGUAUUAGAGCUAGUGAGGAAUACAGGGUUGACGAACUAAAUGCGUUCGACGCCCUUAAGCUUUUUAAUUUGAAUGCUUUUGAAAAUAACCCCAUUAAGUCAGAUUUUGCAGACCUAUCUGUUAAGGUGGUUAACAAUCACGCUGGCGGUGUUCCGCUAGCUCUCAAACUUCUUGGUUCAUACCUUGGUCGUCGUAUCAGCAGAGAAGCAUGGGAAAGUGCAUUGGAAAAAUGGGAAUUUGUUCCGAACGAGAAUAUUCUGAAAGCAUACAGAAUAUGUUAUGAUAGCCUACAUCCUACUUCUAGGAAUAUAUGUCUUGAUAUUGCAUGUUUUUUCAGAGGUGAUGAAAGAAAUUUCAUAGAGAGGAUAUUGCACGGCUGUAAAUUUUUCCCAAAAGAUGGAAUAAGCGAUCUGAUUGAUAAUUGUCUCCUAAUAAGCACACCCGAUAACAAGAUCUCAAUGCAUGAUUUACUACAAAGAAUGGCUCAAGAAAUUGUUCGUGAAGAAUCUGAGAGAGAGCCUGAAAAUCGCAGUAGGUUGUGGAUUGCAGAAGAUAUCUGUGACGUACUUGAGAAAAGUAUGGGAACUGCAAAACUUGAAGGCAUGUUUCUGGAUAUGGCAAAGAGUGAGAGAGAGAAGCUCAUAAUUCCUUAUAAAGCCUUCUCAAAUAUGCGUAAUCUAAGAUUGCUCAAAAUUCAUGAUUCUCGCUCAGUCGAGGUCUGCAAAGUGCACAUUCCUUGUGGUCUUGAGUCACUUCCUAAUUCACUUGUAUAUUUCCACUGGCAUUCGUACCCUUGGAACUCUUUGCCAUCAACUUUUGCUCCAAAUGGCCUUGUUGAACUCAACAUGCCAUAUAGCAAACUAGGAAAUCUUUGGCCGACUGGUGUUCAGCAUCUUGGAAACUUGAAAAGGAUCAAUCUUAGCUACUCAGAACGCUUGUCUCGAAUACCAGAUCUUUCUCGAGCUCGUAAUAUUGAGAGUAUAAAUCUUGAAAGCUGUAGAAGUUUGCUUGAACUUCCGUCAUAUGUUUCCAAUCUUGACAAGCUUACUUCACUAAAUCUCAAGGGCUGCUCAUCCCUUCGAAAUUGUUACGCAUUUCCAAGAAACAUUAAAAGUCUUGAUGUGAGAAACUGCACAAAGCUUCAGACUCUCCCAAACAAUGUUUGUGAUCUGGAACAUCUUUGGUAUCUUAAUCUUUCGGGUUGUUGUCAGUUGGUAAACUUCCCAGAAAUCUCGAGGCCCAUGAAACGUUUGGAAUAUCUCAAACUGAAAAGAACAUCAAUUAUAGAGCUACCCGGGUCGAUUAAAAAUCUCUUAGGGCUUAAAGUACUAAGCCUGAAAAUGUGCAAGAACCUUCAAGCUCUCCCAAGUAGCAUCUCUUGUAUAUCCACUCUUCAAAAGCUUAAACUUUGCCAUUGUUCAAAUCUUAAAUCCUUACCCAAGCUUCCAACAUCUGUAUCAUGGGUCGAUGCUCGGUACUGCUCAUUAUUGGAGUCUGUCUCGAUUUCAAAAGCUGAACUCAGAGACGUGUGGAACAAAUUUGUAUUUUAUAACUGCCUAAAAUUGGAUCCAGUUUCUCGCAACAACAUAAUGGCGGAUGCACGGCUUAGAAUUCUGCGGAGUGCAGUGAUGGCAAGAGAAGAUGGAGAAAGCAAGACACCAGAUGAUGAAAUUUGUUUUCCAGGAGAAAAAAUUCCAGAGUGGUUCGAGCAUCAAAACGACGGACAUGAAAUAAAUGUCGAGCUUGAUCAUCAACCUGAUUGGUGCAAUCAGUACUUCUUGGGUUUUGCGUUUUGCGCUGUAGUUGAAUUCCAGAAUGUUUCUUCCGACACAGAUUUCCAGCUUCAUUGCAAAUCCGAGUGCAUAUUCCCCGACGGAAAAACGAAUAAAUGGUCCCGCAGUUGGACUUGGCAUUGGAAUUACCUGGAAGAGGAAAGCAGUACUAUGAAUUCUAGUCACAUAUUUUUGUUUCAUGAUUAUUGUUGCAAGACGUACUGGAAGUUUCCAAUAAAUUGUGAAGCAAGUUCAUCCACCAGUAAAUUGACAACUUACUAUGACAAAUCCUCGGCCACAUUUUCUUUUCACCCUGGAGACUCAAGGGGACGUGUCAGCUCUUUGAAUUGCGAAGUGCAAUUUUGCGGGGUCCACCUUCUCUACACCCAUGAUUCGGGGCAGUUUCGAGACUUUGAGAAUUCACCAUGGGAAACACAUCGUAUGAUGUCUAUAGAAGAACGUGGCUGUUUGGCGCCUGCUCCAAAUGAUUUCCAACGAAGACCGAUUUCCUGUGAUUGCUAAUUAUGCUGCUCCCAGCUUGGAGAGAUUUUUGGCUUCCUACGGUAUGUGUUCCGUCCUGUCGCUGGACCAGUCACAUCAGGUGUCGAUCCAUCAUAUGAGGAAAGGCUAAAAAAAUUGCAAGAAGAUAUCAACAAUCUGCAAUCUGGUAUGAAUAAUCUGCAAUCUUGUAUAAAUCGGAUGAUGGCACAACAUGAACAAACUUUGGACAAGGUUAUUUUCGGAAACCAAUUUCUGAAGCAGUUGGAGAUGAAUAUGCAUGCCCAGACCGCUCGUUGAAUUGCCUGAAAAUUCUCCGUCAAGGGUGCCUAUUGGGCUAUUCAGGGAGCUCAGUUUGAUCCAAAGGAGAAACGGUGAUGGACGAAACUAUGGUCGUUUCAUCUACACGAACGGCUGAAAGUGUUAGUAUGGAGACUGGCUCAUGACACACUAACUACUAGGUGUCAGAUGGCCAAACUUUGGAACGAAAUCGUUAUCGAACUGUUCCGUUUGUGCCAAUCUGAGAAUAAAAGCGUUCUUCAUAUGAUGGUAAAAUGCUCAUUUGCUAGAGUUUUAUGGUUCGCAUGGAGACGGGGUGUUCGCUGGGAUGGUGUUCAAAUAUAUAAGACACUACAAUUCGGCUGUUAAGAGGUUAUUUUAGACCCUCCUAAAAACUUGACCAUAUACCCGUUGCUGAGAAUGAGUUUUCUUUAUUUGCUGCUGUUUUGAUGAACCACAUAUGGGAAGUGCAAAUAUAUAUUCAGGUAUUUUGUGAUCGUUUGCUUGAAAUUUUCAGAAAUUUAAAGCCGAGUCUUAAACAAUAGUCUAUAUGAUAGGAGUUCUGUUAACUCUAAGCAGCAUUCAGUCACUUGGUCUCCGCCCUUGGGUUGGUGGCUAGAGAUCACCGAGGUAUUCCUAUUGUGGUUUGGACUAGAUACCAUGAGGCAAGUUCGGCACUGAAGGCGGAACUAGAAGCGUUGAGAAGGGCUGUGGAGUUGGCUCACUUCAAAGGCUGGAGACUGAUCAGAGUGACAAGGCUGCUCAUACGUACAUUGUGUGCUUGGGCUUUUGGGAGCAAAUUUUCCGG